AUUGAACGCUGGCGGCAGGCCUAACACAUGCAAGUCGAGCGAGCGGCGGACGGGUGAGUAAUGUAUGGGGACUGCCCGAUAGAGGGGGAUAACUACUGGAAACGGUAGCUAAUACCGCAUACUAUCGGAUAACCCAUAUGGGAUUAGCUAGGUGGUGAGGUAAUGGCUCACCACGGCGACGAUCCCUAGCUGGUCUGAGAGGAGGAUCCGCCAGACGUGGACUGAGACACUGCCCAGACUCCUACGGAGGCAGCAGUGGGGAAUAUUGCACAAGGGGCGCAAGCCUGAUGCAGCCAUGCCGCGUGUAUGAAGAAGGCCCUAGGGUUGUAAAGUACUUUCAGUCGGGAGGCGUUACCGACAGAAGAAGCACCGGCUAACUCCGUGCCAGCAGCCGCGGUAAUUC
rnacentral:rRNA from 1 species